UGGCCCCCACCAUAUAAUUUGCUACAUUCCAAAAAGGACGUGGAGAGGGAUCUGUCAGGCGACGUCCCACAAUUCCAACCAUUAAUCGGGAAUGCUCGCUCUACGGUGCUCAUGCUGUGUGUGUCCUGUCAAUGGAGAAAAUUAAGGGGCAGGGACGCUGAGGAUGGAGUGCAUGAAAUGACCAAUAACUGCAUAUUGUAACUUCAAACCGAUGGUAUCCGAGUCAUUCGAUUAUCUCUACCAAAGAAUUCCAGAUUGCAUUGUAAAUGUCUGAGAAACCUAGAGCCCAGUAUGAGGAAGACGACCAGGCCAGUGGCCGGCGUAUCCAAAGCCACGGCAGCAGGCACUAAGGCCCAGACUGGGGAGAGAGUCAAGCCUGAGGGCGCCAACAUGGGCACAGCCGGCAAGAAUACGGCCAAGACCUCCUCUACCGCACCACUCUCUAAGGCGAAGAGCAGCGAUGACUUGUCAUCAGCAACAACAGUAGGCAGUGGAGCCUCUGCUGGGAUCAGCACUGUUGCUAAGUUCAAGAAGACUAGUUCUGCCCACUCUUCAACCUCUUCCACUACAUGUACCAGCAGCCCAGAGGGCAAGACAAAGACUAGCUCAGUGUACUCCUCAGGCAAGCGUGGGACCUCCUCUGUGGUGAAGGAGCCCGGUUCAUCCCGGGAGGGCCUGCGAGAACGCUCCAGAACUGGCACCGCCAGCAGGAAGCUCUCUGGACCCUCGGACGCCUUGGCACCGCCCAAGAGAGUCCGCAGCCGGGCCAUGACUGAGUCCGAGUCCCGUAUGAGCAAGUCCAGGUCGGAUGGGCAGCUCAGCAAUAAGACUGUCCUGGAGAGCAGGGUGAAGGACCUGCUGGGCCUGGCCAAGAGCAAAGACGUGGAGAUCCUCCAACUGCGCACCGAGCUGCGGGCCGUCCGUGUCCAGCUAGGCCUGCCUGAGGAGGAUGGGGGGAGCAGAGAGAGGGGCGAGGGAGAGGAGACUGCUGAGGCUGAGCCCCCACAGGAACAGAAGAAAGAAGCCCCUACUCCGCUCAUCUAUACAGACGUUGAGUCCACCCUGCUCUUGCUGCAGGACCAGAACCAGGGGAUCCGCGGGGAACUGAACAUGCUAAAGAGUGAGAACCGCAUGCUGAAGGACCGCCUCAAUGCCCUGGGUUUCUCCCUGGAACAGAGGCUGGACUGCUCCCUCAAAGCCCCGCGAGACUCCUGCCUCAGCCCAGAGCUUCCCCCAGCCAGCGGUGGCAGAGAUGGAGGGUUCCAACGGGCCUCUUUUCAACAUGGGGUCUCCCCGCACAGCUCUGCCUGCGGCUCCAAUGAAGACCUUCUGGACCCCCGGCGAGCCAUCUCCCCUGAGGCAGCCGACAGCGAGUGCAGCGAAGCCUACCAGCCGAUCACCUCCAGCGAUGACGCCCUGGACGCCCCCUCUGGUUCUGCCUCUGCCUGCUGCUCCUCCUCUGAGUCAGAGGGCGGGCCACCGAGUCACUGCGAGCGCUCCCGUAGAGGCAGCAGUGGCAACACCAGCGAGGUGUCGGUGGCCUGUCUAACGGAGCGCAUUCACCAGAUGGAGGAGAACCAGCACUGCACCUCUGAGGAGCUCCAGGCCACACUACAGGAGCUGGCCGACCUGCAGCAGAUCACCCAGGAACUAAGCACAGAGAACGAGCGGCUGGGCGAGGAGCGGGUCAUCCUGGUGGACUCCUUGUGCCAGCAAGGUGACCGGCUGGAGUUGUACGGCCAGCAGAUGGACUACUUCCGGGGCCUGCUGGACGAGCACCGCGUGGCCUACGCCCCGGUCGACGAGGAGGACACUAAGAGCAGCCGCUACCUGGAGCUGGAGCGCCGCUACGUGGACCUGACUGAUGGGACCCACUUCGAGAGGGAGCAGCUGCUGGGGGUGCAGCAGCGCCUGAGCGGGGCACUGAAAAUGGCCGAGCAGGACAACGCAGAAGCCCAGGGCCUGAUAUCAGCGCUAAAGGAGAGGGUGCACAUGGCUGAGCGGCAGGCUGAGAUGGAGCGCAGGGAUAGGGCAGCAGCGGCCACAGAGCUGGAGGUCCUGAGGGAGGCGGCCGGGGGGGAGCAGGCGGAGUUGGCUCGAUGCAGGGCCCAGCUGGAGCAGGAGAGACAGAGGGUGGCUGACCUCUACUCCAUCCACAAUGCCGGGGACAAGAUGGACAUCCGCCACCAGCUGGAAAGCGAGAGGAGGGACAAGGAGAGGGCAGAGGCGGAGUCUGCUCAGCUGCAUGUGGAGCUGGACCACACCCGCGACGAGGCCGCCAGGCUGGAGGACGGUAUCAGCAAGCUGGAGGAGAACUUCCGUGCGUUUCGUGAUGAGGUACAGAAGCAGCUAGCAGAGCAGAAGCGGGCCCUGGCACAGCAGUGUUCUGAGCUGGAGGAGAGGGACACUGAGGUCUCAGACAUGAAGGAGACCAUCUUUGAGCUGGAGGACGAGGUGGAGCAACACCGAGCCGUAAAACUCCACGACAACCUCGUGAUCACAGACCUGGAGAACUCCGUCAAAAAACUGCAGGACCAAAAACAUGACAUGGAGCGUGAGAUCAAGAUGCUGCAUCGAAAGCUACGGGAGGAGUCUAUGGAGUGGCGUCAGUUCCAGGCCGACCUGCAGACGGCGGUGGUCAUCGCUAACGACAUCAAGUCCGAGGCUCAGGAGGAGAUUGGGGAUCUGCGGCGCCGCCUUCUGGACACACAGGAGAAGAAUGAGAAGAUGAGCAAAGAGCUGGAGGAGAUCAAGAAGCAGGAUGAGGAGAGGGGCAGGGUGUAUAACUACAUGAAUGCGGUUGAGAGGGACCUAGCUGCCCUGAGGCAGGGCAUGGGUCUCAGCCGACGCUCCUCUACCUCCUCUGAGCCCUCUCCCACCGUCAAGACCCUUAUCAAGAGCUUUGACAACGCCUCCACUGCAGGCCUUGUCCCAACCUCCCCCACAGCAGCCGUGCCAGCAGUUACCACAACGAUUGCCCGUACACCCCUCAGCCCCAGUCCUCUGAAAACCCCACCCGCUGCUGCUAUCUCUCCCAUACAGAGGCACACUGCGUCGACCCCCAAACCCCCGUCCUCCAUGGUGGACAAGAGGUCCAGUUACACAGACCUCACUAUGCCAGCAGAUCACCUGCUCCGGGCCUCGCCUGGGACCCCCUCUGCCCUACAGAGGGUCCCCAACAUGGACUCCAAGUCCCUCUCAGUGUCCCGAAGGUGCAGUGAGGAGCUGAAGAGGGACAUGUCUGCCUCAGAGAACACUGCCUCGGCCUCCCUCAUCACCUCCUCCCCCCAGCUCUCCUCCCUUUCCCCUGCCGCCUCCCCCACCGCCUCAGUCACCCCCUCCGCAAGGGGACGCUUACGGGAGGAGAGAAAAGACGCCCUGUCUGCACUGGCCAGGGAGUACGGGGGAUCCAAGAGGAACGCCCUGCUUAAGUGGUGCCAGAAGAAGACUGAAGGAUACCUGAACAUUGAUAUCACCAACUUCAGCAGCAGCUGGAACGACGGGCUGGCCUUCUGUGCUGUUCUCCACACCUACCUGCCUGCCCACAUCCCCUACCUGGAGCUCUCCAGCCAGGACAAGAAGCGAAAUUUCACACUGGCUUUCCAGGCCGCUGAAAGUGUCGGGAUCAAGUCCUCAUUGGACAUUGGAGAGAUGGUGCACACAGAGAGGCCUGACUGGCAGAGUGUGAUGACCUACGUCACUGCCAUCUACAAGUACUUUGAGACGUGACCCAUCUUCAAGCCUGAACACCUCGCUUGCCCACACACACACGUCCAGCCAGGGAUGUCAUCGCAACACUGGACAACCUUAGAGCAACAUCAGCCAAUGCUACCUGCGAAGACGUCUGGGGCCCUGAGUUCUACGUUAAGCUGCAUCACUUAACUCAACCAAUAUAUUCCAUGUUUACACUGCAAUGUUCUACAAACUCUUGGCUUGGGAUGCUCAUGUGGCUUCUCAGUUUGAUUGAAUUCUUCAGACUAGGCUGUGGAUAGACUGAGGCCAUGGGUAUUAGACAAUGUGUUGAACUGUCCUUCAACUUUCCCUGGGUCAGUGACUUCAUGUAUACUCAAGUCUUCUGGCCUCUUGAUCCCAGUCCUAUGUGAACUCUGUGCUGCAGUAGCCUACACCAUCAUUACCUCCAACAUUACACUGUAGUUCAUAUUUAGCUAGCUGAAAAAAUGUGUGUAUGGUUUUGGACUUGGAAUACUGCGGAGAACAGGAUUUCCUUUUUAAAAUGGCUUUGGCUUUGUCCAUUUUGUCUCUUCGCUCAAUGACUUGAGGGUAAGUGUGAUUUACCUGACUGACAGAGGGUCCAGCUUAACUGUAGGUGUUCUAACUAGGCUGUUUUAGCCCAAUGCUUUGCUGUGAUAUUUAUUCCAAAGAGAUAAUAACUUCAUACGAAUCAAUGCCAUGUUUGUCUCUUGUUUGUUUUUGCCAAUUAUGACAAUGAGCAUUGACAUUAGUAACAUUAAUAAUACAUAGGACUUAUAGUGCUUUUUGAAGGACCCAAAGUCAGAGUUCAAUCGCAUUGACGUCUUUUACGCAAUUUAUUAUUUGUCUCAGUCCGUUGUGUCCAAACUCAGUAAACGUGAUGGUUGGCCACCACGGCCAUUCUCUGGUUUUACAGUGAGGUCCCUUUAGCACACCCAUCCAUAAUGGUUGUACAGUGAGGUCCCUUUAGCACACCAUCCAUAAUGGUUGUACAGUGAGGUCCCUUUAGCACACCCAUCCAUAAUGGUUUUACAGUGAGGUCCCUGUAGCACACCCAUCCAUAAUGGUUGUACAGUGAGGUCCCUGUAGCACACCCAUCCAUAAUGGUUGUUACAGUGAGGUCCCUUUAGCACACCCAU